rnacentral:rRNA from 1 species
GACGAACGCUGGCGGCGUGCUUAACACAUGCAAGUCGAACGGAAAGGCCCUGCUUUUGUGGGGUGCUCGAGUGGCGAACGGGUGAGUAACACGUGAGUAACCUGCCCUUGACUUUGGGAUAACUUCAGGAAACUGGGGCUAAUACCGGAUAGGAGCUCCUGCUGCAUGGUGGGGGUUGGAAAGUUUCGGCGGUUGGGGAUGGACUCGCGGCUUAUCAGCUUGUUGGUGGGGUAGUGGCUUACCAAGGCUUUGACGGGUAGCCGGCCUGAGAGGAUGACCGGCCACAUUGGGACUGAGAUACGGCCCAGACUCCUACGGGAGGCAGCAGUGGGGAAUAUUGCACAAUGGGCGGAAGCCUGAUGCAGCAACGCCGCGUGCGGGAUGACGGCCCUCGGGUUGUAAACCGCUUUCGCCUGUGACGAAGCGUGAGUGACGGUAAUGGGUAAAGAAGCACCGGCUAACUACGUG